rnacentral:tRNA from 33 species
GGAGGGGUGGCCGAGUGGUUAAAGGCGACAGACUGUAAAUCUGUUCUUUCGAGUACGCUGGUUCGAAUCCAGCCCCCUCCACCA